UACGUAGGCAGCGAGCGUUGUUCGGAAUUACUGGGCGUAAAGAGUGCGUAGGCGGUGCUCUAAGUCUGGUGUGAAAUCUCCUGGCUCAACUGGGAGGGUGCGCCGGAAACUGGAGUGCUCGAGUAUGGGAGAGGUAAGCGGAAUUCCUGGUGUAGCGGUGGAAUGCGUAGAGAUCGGGAAGAAUACCGGUGGCGAAGGCGUUCCGCUGGGCCGUUGCUGACGCUGAGGCGCGACAGCGUGGGGAGCAAACAGG
rnacentral:rRNA from 1 species